UUCUUUCUUUCUUUUUUCUUUCCCCCUCUCUUUUAGCUUUUUUUUUUUUUCCUAGAGGUGGGAUCUCACUGUGUUGUCCAGGCUGGUGUCUGACACACCUUAAGCAAUCCUCCCACCUUGGCCUCCUCAAGUGGUGGGAUUAUAGGCAUGAGCCACUGUAUCCAGCCUUCUUUUUGUUUUAAGUGAGCGCUGAGGAGUUCCAAUUAGUCCUCAUUUUCCCAAAGAGAAGAAAACUCAGAGAUAAGAAACUCAACACCCUUUUGAGGAGAGAACUUGACAUCUGAAUUUUCACGUUUGUGUUCUUUGAACAAAUAUCAUUAAAGUAUACCAAAUCUACACCCAGUAAAAGGUUUGGAUGAAGACAGACAAAAUGUGAAUGGACUACAAUGGAAGAUGCACAGACAUACGUUAACCAGGUCAGAAUAAAUGAAGUCCUUGGUUUUCUUGUUCCACACAUGGGCCAUGCAGAAGUCUUCAGGAACAUCCUACCCUUUCUUAUGCCCAUGCCAGGGCGGCCCUCAGCACCAUUCUCCCCAGCCGAAGCAUCCCUCUUCUCCACCUUCCCACCUGAUUCUCUUACAGGAAACCUGAGAACUGGCCUGACAGCACACCGGGAAAAUACAAGUUCUCCCAAGUUGGACGGUCAGCCUUGGAAGACACUGAGUUGCCGACCCUGAAGGACAGGCUGUGCUCAUGGGACAUUCAGGACCUGGAGGUUUUCAAACUCUCUCAAUGCCCUGCUGCCACAUUUGACCUGUAUACAAGUCCACUUCCUGUGUCUUUGAAGAGGAAAUUUCUCAUCUGCUAUCAAGGGUGUUGCUAAUAAUUUAAAGAUAAUUUUGUUUUUCCUGCAUUUUAGUUUGGCUCAUCUAGGACUCAAGCUUCAAGUGCUGAGUCUUGUAAGGACUGUUCUGCAGCCAAACAUCAGGAAAGGGGAAACAUAAGCAAAAAACCGAUCCCAGGUGAAAACUUCAGCCAGCCUAGUUAAAUCUGUGGAGUUAAAAAUAGUUCGCCACCUGGAAGGGGAAAUGCCCUUUUCAUACUAUCAUUCAUUUCUUAGCUAAAUAACGGGUUCAAUAUACAUAAUUCCAAAACCAAAAGUAGAAUUUUUGAAAGACACCCCCAACAUUUAGGCAUUUUAUCUCCUGACCAGUUUGUCGUGGAAGGUAUUCCAGGUCAGGAAGUUCUAAUGUCUUUCUCUAUGUUAAAAGACCUAGAGGAGAUUUUUGUUUAUUGGUCAAGGUGGAUAUGUGAGAACACCUGCUUUAAAGUGCUCAAGACUGGGAUUAUGACUCUGACCAAGUAAAACUCUAGAGCCCCAAGAUCUGUUGAAAUGGAGAAGAUCAAAACUGCUGGGUCCCUGCUUGCCCUUCCCCACCCAAAAAUUCUUGGCCCUGACCCUGGUCCUCCUCCCUCAGACCACCUGUAGAGGAAGGUGGUGUAGCCUUCCACUGAGACCUCGUGAGGCCCUCUGGCUGUCAUUAGGAGGGCAUCAACCGACUAUGGAAACAUAGUUUUGUAUUUCUUCAGCAUCAUAGAAUAUCAUCUCAAACUCACCGAGGGUCAACAAUAUUUAUGGACUCGGUUAUGAAGAAUUCUGUUCUAAGGAGAAUUACCUGAAAGAGAUGUAAUCCUGAUACUUUAAAUUUUAUCUUUGGGUUUGCAGACCCUCAGAGAGCAGCCUACAUGGACCACUCAGUUCUGGCUCCCCACUGACUUACUGAGCCCAGUUUUGGCAUUCUGCCAUUUGCACACUCUUGGGUGGGGGAUGGGGGGAGUAGAAAGCUGUGCCAAGAAAUGUGAUAUUAUACUUACCCUAAUUGUUAUAAAGUUUCGGU
rnacentral:lncRNA from 1 species